GUAGUCUUAGCCAUAAACGAUGUUCACUAGGUGUCGGGGCGUAAGCUUCGGUGCCGCAGCUAACGCAUUAAGUGAACCGCCUGGGGACUACGGCCGCAAGGUUGAAACUCAAAGGAAUUGGCGGGGGCCCGCACAAGCGGUGGAGCAUGUGGCUUAAUUCGAUGCAACGCGAAGAACCUUACCAGGGUUUGACAUGGAUCUGCAAGCUCGUGAAAGCGAGUCGCCUUCGAGGGUGAUCCACAGGUGGUGCAUGGCUGUCGUCAGCUCGUGUUGUGAAAUGUUGGGUUAAGUCCCGCAACGAGCGCAACCCUCAUUGUCUGUUGCCAGCGCGUAAUGGCGGGAACUCGGACGAAACUGCCUCUGUAAAGAGGA
rnacentral:rRNA from 1 species